UGGCUCAGAUGGUAAAGCGUCUGCCUACAAUGCAGGAGACCCAGGUUCAAUUCCUGG
rnacentral:tRNA from 1 species